GAUGAACGCUGGCGGCGUGCUUAACACAUGCAAGUCGAACGGACGAUGCCCCUUCGGGGGCAAAGUUAGUGGCGGACGGGUGAGUAACACGUGAGUAACCUGCCUUGGAGUGGGGAAUAACACAGGGAAACCUGUGCUAAUACCGCAUAAAAUCAUAGGGUGGCAUCACCGAAUGAUCAAAGAUUUAUUGCUCCAAGAUGGGCUCGCGUCCGAUUAGAUAGUUGGCGGGGUAACGGCCCACCAAGUCGACGAUCGGUAGCCGGACUGAGAGGUUGGCCGGCCACAUUGGGACUGAGACACGGCCCAGACUCCUACGGGAGGCAGCAGUGAGGAAUAUUAGGCAAUGGGGGAAACCCUGACCUAGCAACGCCGCGUGAAGGAUGAAGGUUUUCGGAUUGUAAACUUCUUUUAUGAGGGACGAUA
rnacentral:rRNA from 1 species